rnacentral:rRNA from 1 species
CUGCUCAGGACGAACGCUGGCGGCGUGCUUAACACAUGCAAGUCGAACGAUGAUCUCCAGCUUGCUGGGGGGAUUAGUGGCGAACGGGUGAGUAACACGUGAGUAACCUGCCCUUGACUCUGGGAUAAGCACUGGAAACGGUGUCUAAUACCGGAUACGACCUUCCGCCGCAUGGUGAGGGGGUGGAAAGAAUUUCGGUCAAGGAUGGACUCGCGGCCUAUCAGCUUGUUGGUGAGGUAAUGGCUCACCAAGGCGACGACGGGUAGCCGGCCUGAGAGGGUGACCGGCCACACUGGGACUGAGACACGGCCCAGACUCCUACGGGAGGCAGCAGUGGGGAAUAUUGCACAAUGGGCGAAAGCCUGAUGCAGCAACGCCGCGUGAGGGAUGACGGCCUUCGGGUUGUAAACCUCUUUUAGUAGGGAAGAAGCGAAAGUGACGGUACCUGCAGAAAAAGCACCGGCUAACUACGUGCCAGCAGCCGCGGUAAUACGUAGGGUGCAAGCGUUGUCCGGAAUUAUUGGGCGUAAAGAGCUCGUAGGCGGUUUGUCGCGUCUGCUGUGAAAUCUGGAGGCUCAACCUCCAGCCUGCAGUGGGUACGGGCAGACUAGAGUGCGGUAGGGGAGAUUGGAAUUCCUGGUGUAGCGGUGGAAUGCGCAGAUAUCAGGAGGAACACCGAUGGCGAAGGCAGAUCUCUGGGCCGUAACUGACGCUGAGGAGCGAAAGCAUGGGGAGCGAACAGGAUUA